rnacentral:rRNA from 1 species
CGAUUCUGGCUCAGGAUGAACGCUAGCGACAGGCCUAACACAUGCAAGUCGAGGGGCAGCGCGGGAGAAGCUUGCUUUCCUGGCGGCGACCGGCGCACGGGUGCGUAACAGGUGUGCAAUCUGUCCAUAGUCGGGGGAUAGCCCAGCGAAAGCUGAAUUAAUACUCCAUGUGAAUCGAAGCCGCAUGACUUUGAUUUGAAACGCAAGGACUAUGGGUGAGCACGCUUCUGAUUAGGUAGUUGGUGGGGUAACGGCCCACCAAGCCGACGAUCAGUAGGGUUCUGAGAGGAACGGUCCCCCACAUUGGAACUGAGACACGGUCCAAACUCCUACGGGAGGCAGCAGUGAGGAAUAUUGGUCAAUGGGCGAGAGCCUGAACCAGCCAAGUCGCGUAGGAAGGAUGAAGGUUCUAUGGAUUAGUAAACUUCUUUUGUCCGAGGGUAAAAAAGGCCACGUGUGGCUUCUUGCAAGUAUCGGACGAAUAAGCAUCGGCUAACUCCGUGCCAGCCGCGGC